rnacentral:rRNA from 1 species
UACGAGGGGUGCAAGCGUUAUUCGGAAUAAUUGGGCGUAAAGGGUGCGUAGACGGCCUGUUAAGUCUGUUGUUAAAUUCUCCGGCUCAACCGGGGGGCUGCAAUGGAAACUGGCGGACUAGAGGGUGAGAGAGAGAAGUGGAAUUCCCGGAGUAGCGGUAAAAUGCGUAGAUCUCGGGAGGAACACCGAUGGCGAAGGCAGCCCCCUGGGCCAACACUGACGCUCAGGCACGAAAGCGUGGGGAGCAAACAGG